CCCAAUUUUUUUAUGAGGUGUAAAUUCAAGUAUUUUACUUCAGAUAAUAUGCUUAAAAAAAAUUGAGGAGGCCAAGAAAUGUUUUUAAUUUUUUGGCUCCAGGCAUGGUUUUCAAGCACCUGCUUGACUUAGAUGUAAACAAAGUCUCACGCCUUUGUGGAUGGCUCAAAACAGACUCUUGUUACCACAUGGCACCACAUGGCUUUUACCUGUUGAUUCUUGUGGGUCAGCUCUUGAGAUUAACCUGUCACCUCUAUCCACAUGCAUAUUCCUUGUGUUCUACAGACUAUUUAGUGGUAAUUCAAAUUAAAUCGGAUAACGCAUGAACAAUAAUCGAACUUGAAGAAAGCAUUAUGCCAUGUUGUGGUUUGAGUUUGAUAAGAAAUUAUGAAAAACAAAAUUAAGGCUGUUUAAAGAAAUUCAUAAUUGUUGUGAAAAUUUGUUUUUCAAUAAAAGUAUGCAAUUAUG